GCUGGGCGCAGUGACGCACACCUGUCAUCCCAGUGGCUUGGGAGGCUGAGAUAGGAGGAUCGCGAGUUCAAAGCCAGCCUCAGCAACAGUGAGUCACUAAGCAACUCAAUGAGACCCUGUCUCUA
rnacentral:sRNA from 1 species